rnacentral:rRNA from 1 species
UACGUAGGGUGCGAGCGUUAAUCGGAAUUACUGGGCGUAAAGCGUGCGCAGGCGGUUGUGCAAGACAGAUGUGAAAUCCCCGGGCUCAACCUGGGAACUGCAUUUGUGACUGCACGGCUAGAGUGCGGUAGAGGGUGACGGAAUUCCCGGUGUAGCGGUGAAAUGCGUAGAUAUCGGGAGGAACAUCGAUGGCGAAGGCAAUCACCUGGGCCUGAACUGACACUGAGACACGAAAGCGUGGGGAGCAAACAGG